rnacentral:SRP_RNA from 2 species
GUCGGGUAUGGUGGUGCACGCCUGUAGUCCCAACUACUCAGGAGGCUGAGGCAGGAGGAUCACUUGAGCCCAGGAGUUCGGGGCUGCAGUGAGCCAUGAUCACACCACUACACUCCAGCCUGGGUGACAGAGGGAGAUCGUGUCUUUC